GAAACAAAAUGGAGACAAGAAGAGAGAUUGCCACAAAAUGGAGUAAGCUUCAUGGAGAGGACACCAUUCGUUUGAUCUUGAAAAGCAUAUAUACCACAUUCAAAGCAAUAAUAAUAAUAAUAACAAACAACCACCUAAAAGAGGAAAGGAAAGGAGAAGAAAAGGGAAUUGCAGAACAAGAUAAAAUUGUGUCCACAUCAUGGCUGCCUCUCCUGCACAACUCUUAAGGGUAUAGCCAUACUUGGAAGCUACACUUAUGGGAAAGGAACAGGUAUUGACCUGCCGCCAGUGAAUUCAAGUAUUCAUUCUGCUUCAGAUGUGACCCUAGAUGCCAUCCUUUAUAUUGUGAAGUGGAAAAUCACUUCUAAGUCAUAGUCUAUUGUCUCCGUUAUUGAGAAGAAAUUCUUAGUUACCUCCCGUUCUUGUAUAUUUAUCAACCAGAAUGAUAUUAACAUGUUCUGGUAUAAGUCAUGACAGUACCAACUAUUUGAAAUAAUAAAACCAGAUUAUACCCUAUAUUGCUUUUAAUAAAACAUAUUGCCAUA